CCAAAAGGGGUACACAUGUCAAACCAGAGUCAGUCACCCUUAAACCGUCCACCCGUACGCGUGUCAGAUCAGGUUCCAAAAAUCCAACUCUUUCUUUUUCCUCUCUCUAUAUAUUGGUCGCAUCUCUCCUCGGACUUUAAAUAUUUCCCAGACUCUCUCAACCCACCCAAGAAACGAAGUCUCUGGUCGAAUUCUUUAUCAGGAAGAAAUGGGUCGCUCAAGCCGCUCAAGCCGAACCAUUUAUGUGGGAAAUCUCCCCGGAGAUAUCCGUGAGAGUGAAGUGGAAGACUUGUUUUACAAGUAUGGUCGUAUUGUGGAUAUUGACUUGAAAAUUCCUCCUCGACCACCUGGUUAUGCAUUUGUGGAGUUUGAUGAUUACCGUGAUGCUGAUGAUGCUAUUCGCGGUCGAGAUGGUUAUAACUUUGAUGGUCACCGAUUAAGGGUUGAACUCGCACAUGGUGGGCGAGGAUCAUCAUCAUCAUAUGAUCGCUACAGCAGUUACAGUAGUGGAGGGAGUCGUGGUGGUGUUUCAAGGCGCUCUGACUAUCGUGUUUUGGUCACAGGGCUGCCACCUUCUGCUUCAUGGCAGGACUUGAAGGAUCACAUGCGUCGAGCAGGUGAUGUCUGUUUCUCUCAAGUUUUCCGUGAUCGUGAUGGUAUGAGAGGGAUUAUUGAUUACACCAACUAUGAUGAUAUGAAGUACGCGAUACGGAAACUUGAUGAUUCUCUGUUUCGCAAUCAGUAUUCCCGGGCUUACAUACGGGUGGAGGAGUACGAUCUACGAAGAAGCUUCUCCAGAAGUCCUAGUAGGAGUCCUGGCUAUUCAAGGAGUAGGAGUCCUGGCUAUAGCUACAGCAGCAGGAGCAGGAGUGCUUCUCCAAGGGCCAGAUACUCUCGUCGCUCUCCAUCUAGAUCUCUCUCAAGGUCUGUUUCAUCAGGGGCUCUGUCUGACUCCCCUCGUUAUGUUUCAAGAUCUGGAUUUUCGCGGCGAUCUGGGGAUUUUGCAUGUUAGGGACUUGAGGAUUAUGGUGCUCAAAUAUCAUGCAACUCUUGGUUGUGGGCCCUGUGGCUGCAUGCUGUUUUAGUUGAUGAGCACCUGCUGCAUAGCCUGGAUGGUAAAUUUUGUUAAUACUUUUUUAACUGUGGCAAGUGAUGCCCAUGGUGCUAACUUCCCUAGUGAAGAUGAUGGAUUCUUUCCUAAUGUGGAUUCUUGUCUAAGGUGGUUUUUGCAAAAAAGUAACAAAAACUAGAGUAGAAUGGCACUUCGUAACUCUGAACCCAAGGUAACGAUGACAGCAUCAUCUUUGUGUGGUUUACAACAGCUUCUUAGCUUUGCUGUUGGUAAAGUAGGAGCGAAUUGUCUUACUCUUUGCCCUAGCAUUGUGUAUCAUUGUCCUCCCACGUUGGAGAAGACCAGAUUUGAAGAAUGGGACAACAGUGAACGUGAAAUUAUUUUGGAUUGGUCUAAAAGAGUGUGCAUGUUAAGUGGUGCUAAAGAUUGCUGGUAGAUAUUGUUUCCUUGGUUUGAUUAUCGACGUCGAGGUAGCAUGGAUGCAUUUGGAUCAGAAGUCAUAUUGGACUGUUCUGGAUAUUAAAAUGGGUUUAUUUUGGAAAUUUUUGCAGAUCUCCAAGGAAAUUUAGAAGCCCAAUACUAUCUCGCCGCAAAUAUGCAAGCAGAAGUCCAAGCCUUAGUAGGAGCCGAAGCAGGAGCAUCUCUGGAUCUCUAUCUCCUGUGAGAUCUGAUUGAAGCUUUGAUUCAAGCUCUACCUGGCUGCCUUUAAAUGAGGGUUCUACGGAGCAGACUUAGGACCCAAUCAUUUGUUCCCUGGGAUUUGGAUUAGUAAUAUUGUGUUGCGGCUUUUGCAAGGAACAUGCUGUCACCUUCAUCCCCCCUUCACAGAACUUACAUGACGUAUGAAUUUGGCCUGAUAAAUAUGUAUACCUUAUGAUGUGGAGAUUGAUUUUCGCAUUAGAACUUCUGAUUACUGUGUCCUCUCUUGUCGGCGCUCUCAUUUUCCUUCUGCAUAUCCUAUCCUUAUAUAUUAUGGUUGUCGUCUUACGCAUCAAUGGGUAUAUAUAGCGCUGUUGCUUUUAUUGA